GAGGUCUCAAGCGUUGUUCGGAUUCAUUGGGCGUAAAGGGCGCGUAGGCGGCGCGGUAAGUCGGGUGUGAAAUCUCGGAGCUUAACUCCGAAACUGCAUUCGAUACUGCCGUGCUUGAGGACUGGAGAGGAGACUGGAAUUUACGGUGUAGCGGUGAAAUGCGUAGAUAUCGUAAGGAAGACCAGUGGCGAAGGCGGGUCUCUGGACAGUUCCUGACGCUGAGGCACGAAGGUCAGGGGAGCAAACGGGAUUAGAUACCCCGGUAGUCCUGACAGUAAACGGUGCACGUUUGGUGUGGGAGGAUUCGACCCCUUCUGCGCCGGAGCUAACGCGUUAGACGUGCCCGCUGGGGAGUACGGGCGCAAGAUUAAAACUCAAAGAAAUUGACCGGGGCCCCGACAAGCGGUGGAGUAUGUGGCUUAAUUCGAUGCAACGCGAAGAACCUUACCAGGCCUUGACAUGCAUUUCUAAGUUGGUGAAAGCCAGCGAGUCCCGAAAGGGACAACUUGCACAGGUGCUGCAUGGCUGUCGUCAGCUCGUGUCGUGAGAUGUUGGGUUAAGUCCCGCAACGAGCGCAACCCCUGUGAACUGUUGCCACGGAACCGAGAGGUUCCAGCACUCUGUUCAGACUGCCCCGCUUUAACGGGGAGGAAGGUGGGGACGACGUCAAGUCAGUAUGGCCCUUACGGCCUUGGCUGCACACGUACUACAAUGCCCAGCACAGAACGAUCCGAGACCGCAAGGUGGAGGAAAUCUCUAAAACUGG
rnacentral:rRNA from 1 species